rnacentral:tRNA from 1 species
GUGGGUAUAGCUUGGCGGUAUAGCACGUGCUUAGCACACACGAGGUCCUGGGUUCAAUCCCCAGUACAUAUA